rnacentral:rRNA from 1 species
GACGAACGCUGGCGGCGUGCUUAACACAUGCAAGUCGAACGGAAAGGCCCUGCUUUUGUGGGGUGCUCGAGUGGCGAAAGGGUGAGUAACACGUGUGUAACCUGCCCUUGACUUUGGGAUAACGUCAGGAAACUGGGGCUAAUACCGGAUAGUAGCUCCUGCUGCAUGGUGGGGGUUGGAAAGUUUCGGCGGUUGGGGAUGGACUCGCGGCUUAUCAGCUUGUUGGUGGGGUAGUGGGUUACCAAGGCUUUGACGGGUAGCCGGCCUGAGAGGGUGACCGGCCACAUUGGGACUGAGAUACGGCCCAGCCUCCUACGGGAGGCAUGAGUGGGGAAUAUUGCACAAUGGGCGGAAGCCUGAUGCAGCAACGCCGCGUGCGGGAUGACGGCCUUCGGGUUGUAACCCGCUUUCGCCUGUGACGAAGCGUGAGUGACGGUAAUGGGUAAAGAAGCACCGGCUAACUACGUG